GCCAGGCUCUGUGGCCCAUGCCUGUAGUCACAGCUACCCAGAGGCUAAGGUGGGAGGAUCGCUUGAGCCUAGGAGUUCUGGGCUGUAGUUCACUAUGCCAAUUGGGUGUCCACACUAACUCUGGUGUCAGUAUCGUGACCUCCCAGGAGCCGGGGACCACCAUGUUACCUAAAGAGGGGUGAACUGGCCCAGGUCGGAAAUGGAGCAGGUCAAAAUUCCCAUGCUGAUUAGUAGUGGGAUUAUGCCUGUGAAUAGCCACUGCACUCUGGCCUGGGCAACAUACUGAGAACCAGACUCU
rnacentral:SRP_RNA from 1 species